rnacentral:rRNA from 1 species
AAUAAACAGUCACUAAAGGAUUCUACAGUAGUAAUCAAAAUUACAAGAAGUGAAUCAAUCAAUCAAUUGAAUUGAUAACUUC